GACAUACACCGGAAAACCGUAGAGAUACCGGUCCCCCUUGUGGUCGGUGUACAGGUGGUGCAUGGCUGUCGUCAGCUCGUGUCGUGAGAUGUUGGGUUAAGUCCCGCAACGAGCGCAACCCUUGUCUUAUGUUGCCAGCACGUGAUGGUGGGGACUCGUAAGAGACUGCCGGGGUCAACUCGGAGGAAGGUGGGGACGACGUCAAGUCAUCAUGCCCCUUAUGUCCAGGGCUUCACACAUGCUACAAUGGCCAGUACAGAGGGCUGCGAGACCGUGAGGUGGAGCGAAUCCCUUAAAGCUGGUCUCAGUUCGGAUCGGGGUCUGCAACUCGACCCCGUGAAGUCGGAGUCGCUAGUAAUCGCAGAUCAGCAACGCUGCGGUGAAUACGUUCCCGGGCCUU
rnacentral:rRNA from 1 species